AAAAUUUGUCAUUUUUAUCCUCAUAGUUUUAACGGGGCAGAGUCUUCAGAUGAUGACAUUCACCCACACGCAUCAUCACCGCUCUCAAGUCCUGUAAAAGAGAAAGUAGAAGACUCUGAAGAAAAUAAGGAAAUACAGAAUGGGUAUUCAGAUUGUGAGGAGGAGGAUGAUAUACUUUUUGUUGACUACAGUGCAAAAAGAGAUGCAGCAUUAAAGCGAGCCUUUACGGAAAUUCGGACACUGGAAAAAGAAGCGGCGGUCAAAAAACUUGAUUCACCAAAUGGCAAAAGUUCUUGCGACUCUGUUACACAGGACGAUGAGGAGGACUUGGAACACAAAUCAGGGGAUCUUGACAUAUCAUGUGUGGAUUCUCCAGUUGUGAUACCCAAAAAGAGAAGGAAAGGGAGAGAAACAGUGAAGAAAGCAUUGGAAAGUCUGAAGCAGUUCUCUCAAGAAUUAUCUCAGUUGAAAGU